AGCGAACGUUAGCGGCGCGCCUAACACAUGCAAGUCGAGCGAGAAUUGGGGCUUCGGCUCCAUAGUAAAGCGGCGCACGGGUGAGUAAUACGUAGGUAAUCUGCCUCUUGGCCGGGGACAACCUUCCGAAAGGAGGGCUAAUACCGGAUAAGACCACGCCGACCACGGUCGGAGGGGUAAAAGGUGGCCUCUUCAUGAAAGCUACCACCGAGAGAUGAGCCUGCGUCCCAUCAGCUAGUGGUAAGGUAACGGCUUACCAAGGCGAAGACGGGUAGCUGGUCUGAGAGGACGAUCAGCCACACUGGAACUGAGACACGGUCCAGACUCCUACGGGAGGCAGCAGUGGGGAAUUGUUCACAAUGGGCGCAAGCCUGAUGACGCAACGCCGCGUGGGGGAUGAAGGUCUUCGGAUUGUAAACCCCUGUCGAAUGGGACGAAAGACUCGCGAGUUAAUACUCCGCGAGAGUGACGGUACCGUUAAAGGAAGCCACGGCUAACUCUGUGCCAGCCGCCGCGGUAA
rnacentral:rRNA from 1 species